CCUAGGCAGCGACUCAGGCUCCACCGCAACGCGAUACCUGCUAAGGAAGCAACAACGGCUGCUGAACGGGCCCCCCCGCGGAAUCCGAGCCUCAUCGCCCAUGGGACGCGUCAUCCUCAUCAACUCCCCCAUCGAAGCCAACAGUGAUGAAAGUGACAUCAUCCAUUCAGUCCGGGUGGAGAAGAGUCCAGCAGGGAGGCUGGGCUUCAGCGUGCGCGGGGGCUCAGAGCAUGGCCUGGGCAUCUUCGUCAGCAAAGUGGAGGAAGGCAGCAGUGCAGGUAAGCAGAACCCCCAGGCUGAAGUCCACGCUUAGGAUGUGACUCCAAUCUCAGUGAAUGGCAGGGGAUGCUGCUGUCAGGGACAGACGGAAGAGUCCCCAGCUCUGGAGGGCCUGAUUGAUGGGGAGACAGGGCCAACCCUCAAGUCAGAAUGGUUUAAGGGACAGAUCCCUAGGCACUGGGAACACUCAGCCCCUGCUCUGACAAUCCUCACUCUGAUUGAGAAGCUCAGUUUGACCCCAGGGAGCUCCAUCUGAUGGGGGAGGCUCAGCCCCACCCUGGGGACCCAUGCCAGCCACUCCCAUCCUGUGGUGCAGAGCGGGCUGGCCUGUGCGUGGGGGACAAGAUCACGGAGGUGAAUGGGCUGAGCCUGGAGAGCACCACCAUGGGUAGCGCCGUAAAGGUGCUGACCAGCAGCAGCCGCCUGCACAUGAUGGUUCGGCGCAUGGGCCGUGUGCCGGGCAUCAAGUUCUCCAAGGAGAAGACCACGUGGUGAGCAGCAACUCCCUCAUCCUAGCCCUGGCCUUGCCCCAGCCCACCCCAACCCUACCAACACCCAAAACCCACUGGCAGGAGAGGCUUCUGUUCCUCCUGCUCGCUGGCUCAGGAAACGCAGGGGAUCCAAAGGCCUGACCUCAAAAUAAGGAGAGGCUGCAUCUUUCCCCUGCCCUCCUCCAAUAGCUCUGCUCUCCCAGAUCCCAGUGGUUCUGCUGCCACAUUGCCGCUGCUCCUGCUGUGAAACCCAGAGGCAAAACACCACCUCUCUACAGGGGUGCUGUAAGGAUUAGAAAUGGGGCCUAGCCUGGGCAACAUAGCAAGACCCCUUCUCUAAAAAAAAAAAAAAAAAAAAAAAAAAAGCCGGGCAUGGUGGCUCAAGCCUGUAAUCCCAGCACUUUGGGAGGCUGAGGCAGGUGGAUCACCUGAGGUUGGGAGUUCAAGACCAGCCUGACCAACAUGGAGAAACCCCGUCUGUACUAAAAAUAAAAAAUUAACCGAGCGUGGUGGAGCAUGCCUGUAAUCCCAGCUACUUGAGAGGUUGAGGCAGGAGAAUCACUUGAACCUGGGAGGCGGAAGUUGCAGUGAGCCGAGAUCAUACCAUUGCACUCUAGCCUGGGCAGCAGGAGUGAAACUCCAUCUCAAAAAACAAAACAAAACAAAAACAAAAAAACUGGGCAUGGUGGGCAUGUACCUGUAGUCCCAGCCAUUCAAGAGGCUGAGGUGGAAGGACUGCUUGAGCCCAGGAGGUUGAGGCUGCAGUGAGCCAUGAUCACACCACUGCACUCCAGCAUGGGUGGACAGAGCAAGACCCUGUC
rnacentral:lncRNA from 1 species